GUUAUCAUAAGGGUUCUUCAUUAUGAACUUGUAUGCCAUGCAUAACAUACUGUGGAUAGAAAUUAGAGGGAAAGUUACUGGUAUGAUAAUUGUGGUUAUAUUAUAUUACUAUUAUAUUUAGUGUAUUGCUAAUCAAUAUAUUGUUACUUCCCAGAUGACAGCGGCUCGCUUCAAGAGCAGGUGAAGCAAGUUGGGACAAUGUUGAAGACAUUUGCUCGCACUGGGCAAUCAGGUACAACUUGCAAACAACACCUGUGGUUGUUGGUUUAAUUCCCACUGGGGCCACCUGUACAUGUAGUAGACCUAGAUAUAAAUGUCAUAGUUUAGUAGUUGAAGGACCAGGACUGACUACUUUAUUCUUUUAUUCUGGGAACCCCUGUAGGUGCAGAUCAAACCCUAAUGCUGCGACGUCUUGGAAUUUGCCGAUGUUGUGCUUAGCAUGGACGACAAAAUGCUAUGCUGCAACGUUUCAGUGCCAAUGUGUCUGUUGGAGAGUUAUCCCUGCCAGGGGAUCUGUUACUCCCCCCUAGACACCCAGGAAGAUUUGGCGUUGCUUGACAACAGUUUGAGGCAGGAUAAAGAUCUCCAGCAACGAUUUCUUCGGUUUUUGGCAAUCAAAUGUGGGAGGGACCUAAAGACAACCGUGUGGCGAAUGCUUCAGAGUAUCUUCUCUAAUCACCUUUCCAUCAAUACAACCUGGACUGGUGUAGGGGGAUAAAGCAUGUUUUAGAGACAUGUUCCUGAAGACCAUUGUUCAAAGAGCCAUCCGGAAGAACCCGGCAACACAGGAUGCCACUGAUGAGGCGAUCCAGGUUAACGUUACCUGAAAGGAGCAUCUGAACAUGAAGGUGGAAAAGGCGCCGCACAGCUGAGAGGGACCCACAGCCGACCCCUUAAACCUAGG